rnacentral:lncRNA from 1 species
AACUCUGGGGAAAGGUCUCAGGAAGAGCUGGAGUCUGCCUCCGUUUUCUAGGUCCUAGGUCUGUAAGCGCCAAGUCCUCCAAGCCAACUGCCCCAUGAGCCUCUGUUCAAUUUAUUCGACUCCCGGAUCACUGUAAGAAUGCUGAGGUUACAGCUGUGUACCACCUCAUCAAGCUUUCUCCUGGGUUUCAGGGAUUGAACUUGGUUCAUCAAGUUUGUGUGGCAAGUACUUUACCCAAUGACCCAUCUACCUUACUAGCCUUAGCCCUAUGCUCUCUCCCCCACACCCCCGGGUGUGUGUGUGUGUGUUUGUCUCUGUGUUUCUGUCUCUGUCUCUCGAUCACUCUCUCUUGCUUUUUCUCUCUCCUCUUUGUCUCUCUUUCUGUGUCUUUCCGUUCAUCUCUGUCUCUGUCUCAGUGUGUGUGUAUAUGUCUGUCUGUCUUUUUCUGCCUCUUGGCUUUCUCUCUGUCUCUCUGUCUCUGUCUCUGUCUCUCUGUCUCUCUGUGUGUGUCUCUGUGUGUCUGUUUCUGUUCUCUGUGUUUCUGUCUCUCUCUUCCAUGCUCUGUGUCUGUCUCUCCCUGUGUGUCUCUGUCUCCCCCACCCCCCAUUUGUACAGCCUCACUAUGUAAGCCAGGAUGGCUUUAAACUCCUAAUCCUUCAGACUCAGCCUCCAAAGUGUGGAGAUUAUAGUCAUGGUAGCAUUGCGCCUGUCUUUUGUAUUGUUGUUUGUUAGUUUUUUCACUGAUUGCUUGGUUGGUUGAUUUCUUGAGAGAGGCUCUUACACUAGAACUCAAGCGCGAUUCAUACUUGAUAUAUAGCCCAAGCUAGCUUUGAACUCACAAUAGUAGUUCUCCUGCCUCAGCUUCCCAAAUGCUGGAUUUAUACCUUGAAUUCCUUGACUACUUCUGUGCUGUUAGAGCAGUGAAGGCUCUGGCUGCUUUUAUGUAGUUACAUGCCGAUAUAUCUUCUAAAAUUAGAAAAUAAAAUACACGGUUAUGACUAUAAGUCUGCAAAGAACCAUAGUGAAGGGGACGGACAUGCCCAGUGUGAGACUAAAGCUAUAGCUGAAUUAAUUCCUUAGUGUUCUCUGUGAGGUUAAUAACUUAUUAAUAUAAAUAGGACAAACUGCCAAGGUUUGUUUUGGAAACUUGGCCACCAGUGUGAUGAUGCUAAAGACCUUAUGGCAGACUCAGGGCAGUUGGGAUUGCAUCCUUGAGAGAGAUUUACUCUGUGUUUGUGGAGUGAGUUAGUGGUGCCCGCAUGUUACAGCUGCUCUUCAAGGGCAUCCUGCCACCGUGGUGCCAUCUCCCAUGAGGCAUUUACCAGGGCCAGUAUUGUGUCCUUGCACUCUCAAAUUAUGAGCUAAAUGCAUUUUUUAAAAAAGGGACUAGCCUCUGGCAUUUUAGUAUAGUAAGGGACUAGCCUCUGGCAUCUCAGUAUAGUAAUAGAAAACUGGCAAACACCUUGGUAAAGGUGCAGCACAAACUGAUAGGGACAGAAAUGCAUAGAUGCCAUAGAUGCCAGGAUGCCAUAGAUGCCAGGAUGACGUUCCGGCUACCAAUUAUUUGUGAUGAGCAUCUUUCCUGAGGAAGAGAGUGAUGGAUAAAUGUUAGUUAACUGAGAAUCUAUGCUGUAUGUAUGGAAUGAAGUCGUGAAAGCUGACUUGGAAUUGCAAAGCCAAGCCAUUAUCAGGAAUAGCAAUGAGGCAAAACACACACACACACACACACACACACACACACACAGAGAGAGAGAGAGAGAGAGAGAGUGCUAACCUAGGCUCAAGAGCUUUAGUGUCCUCCCUAGGAUAAAACACUUCAUUAGCAGGCAUAGGAGCAGAUGGCAUGCUCUCUUCAGUGGUCUCAUCCCCUUCUGAUAGGAGAGCAAUAAUUUGUCUUCACAGAUAUAUCAACUUAAAUCACCUAUUUUUUUUGUAGCCCUUCCAUAAACUCAUGCGGAAAGGACUUUCCUCACCUGUCAAAACAGAUGUUUUACUUCCAGGCUUUCAAAUGAAAAGUAAUUAGUUAUAAAAAUGCACAGUAAUUACUUAAAGUUGGUGUGUCCAUGUCUUGGAAAAACAAGGACCCCCAGGAGCAAACUUUUCCCCUUUUUCUGACUCAUUCGUGAUGACUCAGGUUUGGUCACUCUGGUCAGAAACUA